rnacentral:tRNA from 1 species
UGCUAUUUAGCUUAUACAGAGUAUGGUUUUGAAGCAACUAGGGAUUUAUUAGCAA